UACUGUGGUGUAUGUAAGCCCGUGUUUGGCUGCCUUUCGUUAGUCCGGUCAUUAAUGUCGUGACAUCACUGUAAGUUCCUGAGCAUGGGCUUCCCGAAUUAAACUCAGUGUUCACUCGACUCCCACUCGUGCAUGAAGAGAAUGACCGGACUUGACAAGAAGAUGCCUCCCCUCACUGAGGUGUUGUACCUCGAUUUAACGGACGAGCUAAUCUAUUGGCUGCGGCAGCCCCAGGUCUGAGAGGACCCCGCAGCACGAGCCCUUGCUACCCAGGCGAGGGACAUCCUGGAGAAGAUCUCCCCGCCCGAAGACUCGCUCCUCGAAGUGGAAGUACGAGAAAAGUUAUGGCAGCUGGGGAACAGAGCAGCAGAAACGAUAAGGGAGACCCAGGAGGUCAAGUACUGACCAAGCAGGGGUGUUUCUGGAUCCAGGCUGGGAUUGUAAGUACAGGCAAGGAAUGCAUCCUGUCCAAAUCCCCAGGAAUCUACACCAGGGUGUCUCGUCAUCAGACCUGGAUCAUGUCUAUCAUCACCACCAACCAACCUGGAUUUAUGACAUUUAUCUCCAUUGGGGUGGAAUGUGACAACAGUGUAGCCUGCAAUAAAGUAUUACAUAUUUCAA